rnacentral:rRNA from 1 species
GACGAACGCUGGCGGCGUGCUUAACACAUGCAAGUCGAACGGAAAGGCCCUGCUUUCGUGGGGUGCUCGAGUGGCGAACGGGUGAGUAACACGUGAGUAACCUGCCCUUGACUUUGGGAUAACUUCAGGAAACUGGGGCUAAUACCGGAUAGGAGCUCCUGCUGCAUGGUGGGGGUUGGAAAGUUUCGGCGGUUGGGGAUGGACUCGCGGCUUAUCAGCUUGUUGGUGGGGUAGUGGCUUACCAAGGCUUUGACGGGUAGCCGGCCUGAGAGGGUGACCGGCCACAUUGGGACUGCGAUACGGCCCAGACUCCUACGGGAGGCAGCAGUGGGGAAUCUUGCACAAUGGGCGGAAGCCUGAUGCAGCAACGCCGCGUGCGGGAUGACGGCCUUCGGGUUGUAAACCGCUUUCGCCUGUGACGAAGCGUGAGUGACGGUAAUGGGUAAAGAAGCACCGGCUAACUACGUG